rnacentral:lncRNA from 1 species
AGACAGACGAACGGGGGCCUCCCGGCUUCUCAAAUCACACCAGGGGGAGCCUGGAUCCAGGACGCUGUACUGAACAAGCUCCCAGGGGUGUGGGUGCUGUGACUGCCUGGGGAUCCUGGGUCACCUCUCCCCACCCCACUCUGAUUGGGCCCAGGAGAGCCCAGAAGCUGCAGUCGCCUGGAGAAGCCGGAACCCAGGCACUGCCGGUCAUCGUGCCCAGCCACAGGCUCCUGCGAAGCUC